UGCCUACCGUGGUUACUACGGGUAACGGGGAAUCGGGGUUCGAUUCCGGAGAGGGAGCAUGCGAAACGGCUACCACAUCCAAGGAAGGCAGCAGGCGCGCAAAUUACCCACUCCCGGCACGGGGAGGUAGUGACGAAAAAUAACGACGCGGGACUCUGUCGAGGCCCCGCGAUCGGAAUGAGUACACUUCAAAUCCGUUAACGAGGACCAACCGGAGGGCAAGUCUGGUGCCAGCAGCCGCGGUAAUUCCAGCUCCGGUAGCGUAUAUUAAAGUUGUUGCGGUUAAAAAGCUCGUAGUCCGAACUCGGGUUCGUGGUCGCUCACGCGGCCCCGGGGCGGCGGCGCCAUCGUCCAUCGUUGACUUUGGUCGUCCGUUCGCAUUCCCGGCCCUUUCCGCCGGUGUCAAUCGCUAUUAAGACGGUCGCUGGUCAGCUGGUGGUUGGCGUGGUGCUUGCGCUUUGGGGGUUCGACGUGCGGGUUCGCCCAAACUGACUUCCUUCUUUGCGUUCGUGUCCGGGCUUUCGGGCUCCCUUCUGCUGUGCCCCUGUGUGCCGUCGGUGAUUUCUCCUCCAAGGGUGCUCUUAACCGAGUGUCCGCGGCGGCCGGUACGUUCACUUUGAAAAAAUUAGAGUGCUCAGAGCGGGCUGUUCAAGCUUGCAUACUAUAAGCAUGGAAUGAUGGAAGAGGGCCUCGUCUACGUCUGUCGGUCUCCGUCUACGGCGAGGCAAUGAUCGAAGGGAGCGGUCGGGGCCACUCGUAUUGCGACGUUAGAGGUGAAAUUCUUGGAUCGUCGCAAGACGAACUGCAGCGAUGGCGUGUGGCAAGCACGUUUUCCUCGAUCAAGAGCGAAAGUCGGAGGUUCGAAGACGAUCAGAUACCGUCGUAGUUCCGACCGUAAACGAUGCCGACCGGCGAUCCGCCGGCGUUCGCUUCCAUGACCCGGCGGGUAGCCUGCGGGAAACCAGAGUUCGGUUUCCGGGGGGAGUAUGGUUGCAAAGCUGAAACUUAAAGGAAUUGACGGAAGGGCACCACCAGGAGUGGAGCCUGCGGCUUAAUUUGACUCAACACGGGAAAACUCACCCGGUCCGGACACCGGUAGGAUUGACAGAUCGAUAGCUCUUUCUCGAUUCGGUGGGUGGUGGUGCAUGGCCGUUCUUAGUUGGUGGAGCGAUCCGUCUGGUUGAUUCCGAUAACGAACGAGACUCCGGCCUGCUAACUAGUGCGCCGAUGUGAGUGCGGCCUUCGGGUCGUGUGCGGGCUCGUGGGCGAUUUUUGAUCGUCUCUCGUGUCCGGGUCGGUUUCUCACGCACUUCUUAGAGGGACGGGUGGCAGAAAGCCACACGAGGCGGAGCGAUAACAGGUCUGUGAUGCCCUUAGAUGUCCGGGGCCGCACGCGCGCUACACUGGAGGUAUCAGCGGGGACUUCGCCCCGGCCCGAGAGGGUCGGGAAACCUCUCAACCACCUCCCGUGAUAGGGAUCGGGGCCUGUAACCAACCCCGUGAACGAGGAAUUCCCGGUAGGCGCGGGUCAACAGCCCGCGUCGAUCACGUCCCUGCCCUUUGUACACACCGCCCGUCGCUACUACCGAUCGAACGGUCCGGUGAGGUCCUCGGAUCUGGCCGACGACGCCGCCGGGUGAAGGCYUUCGGGUCCCGCCUCGGCGUUCGAUGCCUGGAGAAGACGACCGAACCCGAUCGUUUAGAGGAAGUAAAA
rnacentral:rRNA from 1 species